UAUGCAAUCAUUCUAUCUAAACUCUAAAGCUGCGACUACGACUCAUAAAAAAAAAUUAACAAAAAAACAAUAUUAAUAACAAUAAUAUCCUAAAAAUUAAAGCAUAAUCUCAAUUUACUAGUUACUUAUAAAGUUAUAAUUUAUUGGCAAUAAUAAUUGAUACUUAAUGAUUUAUUAUGUAAUGAUUAUUAAUUAGUAUUGUAUUAACGUCUUUACAAAAUCGUAUUUUCAUAAUCGUAAAAUCGUAUUUUGUUAACGUUAUGAAUUCAGAAUUAGUAAGAAGUAAAUACUUAGUAAACAGUGAGUUGUAGUUAAUAUUAUAUUAUAGUUACCAGUAAUGCACACAGAACCAUGAUUUUGACUACGUUAAUCAAGAAACAAUCGUUAAUUUUAUAUUUCUACAAUUCUACCUGUUAACAUUAUUAUUCAAAGUUUGUCUACCGAUUGUUCUGAUAAUAUGUCGUCCGAAAGCUGCAAGAAAUUUGAAUGUGAUGAAUGUAUGAAAACAUUCUCAAAAAAGAAUAAUUUAAACGAUCAUAUUUUAGCCAAACAUUCUAACACUAAAAAAUAUGUUUGCUCGAUUUGUAAAAAAUCAUUUUCUUACAAACAGUCAUUCAACAGGCAUAUGAAUGUCCAUAAAGUAGCAACUUCUGUUUACUCAUGUUCAGAAUGUGGUUAUAGUUCUCAGUUAAAAUUUAUGCUGACACGGCACAUUAAGAGUGUCCAUCUGAAUAAAAACGACAGUCUUUUUAAAGUAUCCUGUGUGUUUUGCAAUCACCAUUGUUCCAAAAGUAAUUUAUCCACUCAUUAUGUGCUCUGCCAUCCAACAGAAAUUGUUAGUGAACAAUUAAAGUUUGAUUGCUUAGAUGAAUUUUAUGCAUGGAAGUAUGAGGUUGAAGAUCAAGAUAUUAGUAGGUUUGUUAAAGCUCGUACAACAUAUGUUGGUAUAUCUGGUUCUAAACACUUAUUUUUUAAAUGUCACCGUGAUGGAAAAUAUAAGCCUAAAGGCAAUAACAUUAGAAAAUUGAAGUCGUUAGGUACCAAUAAAAUUGGUUCCUAUUGUCCAGCUAGAAUGGAUGUAAUGGUUGAAGGCAACGAAGUUAGUGUACUUUAUAUUAAAACACAUAUUGGUCAUGAUUUAGAACCAAAACGUUUAACUCUAGCCAAAAAUGAGAAAGAUUUCCUUGCUGAACAAUUAACAAUGCCUAAUACUAAUUACAAUGAUAUUUUAAAUGUUGUUAAAACCUUAAAUUCAACAAGUCGUUUGCAUCAUUUAACAAGAAAAGAUUUAGUUACAAUUAAUAGUUCUAUAAAAGAGGCUGCAAGAAGAAAUAAUACCAUGAUUAAAACCAAUGAUAAACUAGAUGAUACAGUAGAAAUAAACAAUGUUUUUGAUGGUGAUUUGGUAGAUUUAUUUAAUGAUCAAAAUCACAAAAAGUCACCACUUGCAUUAAAUUCAGGGAAUGAUUGUAUGGGAUCUGAUAAACAAGAAAUUGUUGAUGUAAAUAAUACUUUGUUGACUUCAGAUCAUUUAGAAUUAAAAGAUAGUUAUACAAAUAAAAUUCAACCUUUAUAUGAAUUAAAUGUUGAACAACAAAUAAUUGAAUCAAAUGAACAAAUACCAAUUUUAGAAUUCAAUGAUGAAAUAUUGGAAGGCAAUCAAGUUAUAGAUUACCAACAACAAUUGACAAAUAUUGAAAAUGAGAGAAUUAGUAUAAUGGAAAAAAUGAAGUUGAUAGUUAAUCAAAUUGCAUGCAAUGAUGAGUUUGCCAUUGUUCAUCAAGGGCUAAUGAAUAUAAUGAGCACAAUUGAUGAAAGAAGGAAUGCAAUCGAUCAAGCAGUAGUCAAUGGAGAUUUAGACAAUAUAAUGAUAUUUGAUGAAAGUAUUUUACAAAAACAAUGCCAGUAACUGUAGGUAAUUCUUAAGUUUAAGUUUGGAAAAUGAUCGUUCUGCUCCUGCCACAGUGAUCGGCAUUGUCAGAAAAAUUAUACAAGCACUUAAAACGUCCGAAAAACUACUUGUACUCGAUAUCCAUAAAUCAUAAUAUCGGGGCCCCUAAAUAUUUCAUAGAAUCGGGGCCCCGGUGCAAUGCACCACUUGCACCGGUGGUUUAUCCAGCACUGAGUACCAUAGACCUAUAAACUAAAGGACAGCGCUUUGAGAGAGAAGUCAAGGAUACAAUAUAGAGUGAGUGAGAUAAGAAACAAAGAAAUAAAAUUUAUACAGUCCUUUUGCGGUGCUCCUUCACUACUUUAUGUUCUUUCUCUCUCAGUUAACCAUAUGGUUAUAUGAUCGCCUAGCAUUGAUGGCAGGGCAGAGUGGAAUGGACUGUCCAUUAGUUUAUAGGUCUAUGGGUAGUACUUAUGGGUUUCUUAUAAGUUAUAAGCAAUUCUACUGUAAAUAAUAGAAUGCCAUUAUAUUAUAAUAUGUUACUCCAGUCACUUACAGCCAACAUGAAUCCAACUCCUCUUACAUAUAGUCAUAUAAAUGAUACAUAAAUUGAUUAGUUAGGUAUUUAUUAAUAAGCUAAAUAAUAAAAUAUUUCAAUAAAUAAAUUAAAACAAAUAAUUAUGAACAUUUUUAAAUAAAGGUUGCAUGUGUUUGAAAUUAGGUAUUUUUACAAAUAAAUGUACCUAUAUAAAAUAUAUUAAUUAUUAUAAUAUAGUGUCAUAUAAUAUGCCAAUAGCUUCAGAUA